CUUUCCUCCAACCUUGGGGAGCUUCUAUAUAUUAUUAUUAAUUCUUUUGUUAAUUAGCCUCGUCAUUUUCACCACCACCCCAUAUAAUUCUUCCCCUACUUGCUUAAUUUCUCAUACCAUGUGCCUCCUCGAAUCUUUAUAAAAUGGUCCUUUUCCUUCACACAAACCAAAGCAUUUUCUUUUAGUUCCCUCCACUAGCUAGCUCUUCUUCUUCUUUCCCGAGUCAUACCCAUGUCUAAACUUAUGGUUUUAAGCCUUGUACUCUCUGCUUUUUCGGGCUUCAACAUCAUUAAUCUUUCAGCAGCAGAGUUCCAGCGAUUUCAACAUGCAGCCAAAGGUGAUGGGUCUCUUAGCCUCUUGGCUGUUGGAGACUGGGGAAGAAGAGGAGCUUAUAACCAAUCUCACGUUGCUCUUCAGAUGGGAAUAAUCGGAGAGAAAUUGGACAUCGAUUUUAUAAUCUCCACAGGAGAUAAUUUUUAUGAUAAUGGAUUGAAGGGUGUGGAUGAUCCAGCAUUUUAUGAAUCUUUCACCAAAAUAUACACAGCACCCAGCUUGCAGAAGCAAUGGUAUAGUGGUAUAUAUAUAUAUUCCAUCUCUUCCUCCUAUUUAAUUAUUUAUGGAUAUUUAAAAGUGGAUUCAUCAUUCAUGCUUUAACUAAUUAAUUUAUUCUUGAAUUUAUUAAAAUAUUGUACUGCAUGCAGUUUUAGGUAACCAUGACUAUAGGGAUGAUGUUGAGUCGCAGCUGAGUCCUGUCCUUAGAGAAAUGGAUAGCAAAUGGCUUUGCUUGAGAUCUUUUAUCGUUAACACUGAAAUAGCUGAUUUUUUCUUCGUGGACACCACUCCUUUCGUGGAUAAAUACUUCAAAGAAAAAGACCAUAACUAUGAUUGGAGUGGCAUAAUACCUCGACAAAAUUACCUUUUAAAUGUCCUAAAGGAUUUGGAUAAGUCCUUGAAAGAAUCCACAUCAAAAUGGAAGAUUGUGGUAGGCCACCAUACAAUCAAAAGUGCUGGACACCAUGGAAACACGCAAGAGCUCAACUCACAACUACUCCCAAUCAUGCUGGAAAAUAAUGUUGAUCUUUACAUAAAUGGGCACGACCAUUGCUUGGAGCACAUAAGCAGCAGUGAAAGUCCACUUCAAUUUUUAACGAGUGGUGGAGGCUCAAAGGCUUGGAGAGGAGAUGUUGAUUGGUGGAAUCCAAAGGAGAUGAAGUUUUAUUAUGAUGGUCAGGGUUUCAUGUCAGUUCAGAUCACUCAAACUCAAGUGGAUAUUGUGUUCUAUGAUGUUUCUGGCCACAUUUUGCACAAAUGGAGCAGGAAUAAACAGCUUUACUCUAUUGUUUAGACGUGUUAUUUUGCUUCAAGCAACAACAAGAAGAAGAAGUUGGGAUUCUGGAUAUAUAUGUAUUGAGGAAGGGAUUGUCAUCUUGUAAUCUUCUUCUUAUUGUUAUCUUGUAGUCUUCUUCUUCUUCCCCCCUUUUUUUUAAAGAAUAGUUAUCUUGGUAUUUAAUGAAAAUGGGUCUGAAUUAGCAUUCGUGGA
rnacentral:misc_RNA from 1 species